rnacentral:rRNA from 1 species
AACGCUGGCGGCAUGCCUUACACAUGCAAGUCGAACGGCAGCAUGGGUGCUUGCACCUGAUGGCGAGUGGCGAACGGGUGAGUAAUGCAUCGGAACGUACCCGGAAGUGGGGGAUAACGUAGCGAAAGUUACGCUAAUACCGCAUAUUCUGUGAGCAGGAAAGCGGGGGAUCGCAAGACCUCGCGCUUCCGGAGCGGCCGAUGUCGGAUUAGCUAGUUGGCGGGGUAAUGGCCCACCAAGGCGACGAUCCGUAGCUGGUCUGAGAGGAUGAUCAGCCACACUGGAACUGAGACACGGUCCAGACUCCUACGGGAGGCAGCAGUAGGGAAUAUUGGACAAUGGGCGCAAGCCUGAUCCAGCCAUGCCGCGUGUGCGAUGAAGGCCUUCGGGUUGUAAAGCACUUUUGGCAGGAAAGAAAUCGUGUGGGUUAAUACCCUGCGCGGAUGACGGUACCUGCAGAAUAAGCACCGGCUAACUACGUG